CACGUAGGGGGCAAGCGUUGUCCGGAUUUAUUGGGCGUAAAGAGCUCGUAGGCGGUUCGGUAAGUCGGGUGUGAAACCUCCAGGCUCAACCUGGAGACGCCACCCGAUACUGCUGUGACUAGAGUCCGGUAGGGGAGCGUGGAAUUCCUGGUGUAGCGGUGAAAUGCGCAGAUAUCAGGAGGAACACCAGCGGCGAAGGCGGCGCUCUGGGCCGGAACUGACGCUGAGGAGCGAGAGCGUGGGGAGCGAACCGG
rnacentral:rRNA from 1 species